CCUUGAGACCAACAAUUUCCGAGCGGUUGGGGAGAUUAUGGCGUUGAGCCUGGCCCAGGGAGGACCACCCCCAGCUUUCCUCAAAAACUGGUGCUACAACAUCAUAUGCCAUGGGGAAAUUGAACACAGCCAGCUGACAGCAGAGGAUGUGGCCGACUGUGAGUCAGCAGAGCUUAUUGCAGCUGUUGAAAACUGCACAGACACAGGGG